CCAAUGUGUCCCCCACUUAUCAAAUUAAUCUACCCCAAUACCAUUCUCUUCAUUUCUUUGUCUUAUUUAAAAUCUUCUAAUUAUCCCUAUUUCCUACAGUGAUAUUUCCCAAAACAUGUUCUCCAAGAUGUUAAUAUUCUAUUUAAAUGAAAGCAAAAGGAAGAAAGAAAAAGGAAGAAAAGAAGAAGGAAGAAAAAGAAGGGAGGGAGAAAACAGGAAAGAAAAAGAAAAGACAAACUCUUCCCUGAUCUGCAAAACAAGAUAAUGAUUAUGACCUCUGAAAUGGCCUGCAGCUAUCCUCUCAUACUGUGUUCACACACUUGGUAGUCUCUUCCCCCAUGAGACAGGACUGACUUAUGUAGCCCAUAGGAUGUUGCAGAGUUGUAUUCAAAGCUGAGUUGUGAAAGACACUGUAUCUCCUCCUUGCUCUCUCUUGGAUAACUUGUUCUGGAGGAAGCCAACUGCCAUGUCAUGAGGAUCCUCAAAGAGCCCAUUAGAAUGCCUAUGUAGAGAAAAAGCCUUCAACCAAUAACCAGCACCAACAUGGCAGCCAUGUGAGCAAGCCAACUGGGAAGUGCACCCUGAGGACAUAAUCAAGCUCUCAGAGGACUUCAGCUAAGGCUGAUGACUUGACUGCAACUAACUGAGAGACAUUGAGCCUGAACUCCUAGUCAAGAUGCUACCAAACUCUUGGCCCAUAGAAAAGCAUGAGCCCCAGGAGAAGCCAUCCACUUUACCAGGCAUGAGUGGAAGAAACAGCAACGAAUCCUAAUACUUGCAGGAAAACUGAGUGUGUUGGAGUUUUUGAGAGGAAAAAUUCUCACAGGUAAUUUUGACUAUGUACAACUUUCUCUUUAUGUACUUUAGAAUCCCACUGCCAAGUAAGAUGCAAUUCUACUGUAAUAAUAAUUGUAACAAUGUCUGCAUAACCUAACUCACUAGGCUCAUAUAAGAACCCAAUAAGAUUAAAAAUCUAGAAUGGCACUCUGCAUAAUAGUGUUGUAACAUGCAAAUGUCAGGUGUAAAUUAUUUGUGUAAUUAUCUGAACCCAUCUACUAGCGUACUCUCUUCUACUGAAUUCUGUUAAAAAGCA